rnacentral:rRNA from 1 species
CCUACGGGGGGCAGCAGUGAGGAAUAUUGGUCAAUGGACGAGAGUCUGAACCAGCCAAGUAGCGUGAAGGAUGACUGCCCUAUGGGUUGUAAACUUCUUUUAUAUGGGAAUAAAACAGGGUAUGCAUACCCUCUUGUAUGUACCAUAUGAAUAAGGAUCGGCUAACUCCGUGCCAGCAGCCGCGGUAAUACGGAGGAUCCGAGCGUUAUCCGGAUUUAUUGGGUUUAAAGGGAGCGUAGGUGGAUUGUUAAGUCAGUUGUGAAAGUUUGCGGCUCAACCGUAAAAUUGCAGUUGAAACUGGCAGUCUUGAGUACAGUAGAGGUGGGCGGAAUUCGUGGUGUAGCGGUGAAAUGCUUAGAUAUCACGCAGAACUCCGAUUGCGAAGGCAGCUUACUGGACUGCAACUGACACUGAUGCUCGAAAGUGUGGGUAUCAAACAGGAUUAGAUACCCCAGUAGUC